rnacentral:tRNA from 1 species
AAUAAAAUGGCUGAGAUGUAAGCGAUAAAUUGUAAAUUUAUUAACGAGAUAAAAUUCUCUUUUAUUA